GAUCAUGGCUCAGGACGAACGCUGGCGGCGCGCCUAACACAUGCAGGUCGAACGAGAGAUGAGGAGCUUGCUCUUCAAAUCGAGUGGCGAACGGGUGAGUAACGCGUGAGGAACCUGCCUCAAAGAGGGGGACAACAGUUGGAAACGACUGCUAAUACCGCAUAAGCCCACGGCUCGGCAUCGAGCAGAGGGAAAAGGAAGCAAUCCGCUUUGUAGAUGGCCGUCCGCGUCCGACUUAG
rnacentral:rRNA from 1 species